CCUACGGGAGGCAGCAGUGAGGAAUAUUGGUCAAUGGACGAGAGUCUGAACCAGCCAAGUAGCGUGAAGGAUGACUGCCCUAUGGGUUGUAAACUUCUUUUAUAUGGGAAUAAAAUGUUCCACGUGUGGGAUUUUGUAUGUACCAUAUGAAUAAGGAUCGGCUAACUCCGUGCCAGCAGCCGCGGUAAUACGGAGGAUCCGAGCGUUAUCCGGAUUUAUUGGGUUUAAAGGGAGCGUAGGUGGAGUGUUAAGUCAGUUGUGAAAGUCUGCGGCUCAACCGUAAAAUUGCAGUUGAAACUGGCAGUCUUGAGUACAGUAGAGGUGGGCGGAAUUCGGGGUGUAGCGGUGAAAUGCUUAGAUAUCACGAAGAACUCCGAUUGCGAAGGCAGUUCACUGGACUGCAACUGACACUGAGGCUCGAAAGUGUGGGUAUCAAACAGGAUUAGAUACCCUAGUAGUC
rnacentral:rRNA from 1 species